rnacentral:rRNA from 1 species
GAUGUACAUGAUGGCAGUCUGAUCCAGCCAUGCCGCGUGCAGUGAUGACAGGCCCUACUGGGUUGUAAACUGCUUUUGUAUGGAAGAAAUAGAAUCUACCUGUAGAUUGAUGACAGUACCAUACCAAUAAACCCCGCCUAACUCCAUGCCAGCAGCCGCGGUAAUAGAAUAA